AAGUUUGACCUCAAAUCAGGUAGGGUUACCCGCUGAACUUAAGCAUAUCAUAAA
rnacentral:rRNA from 1 species